AGUUUGAGCUAAAUAUAUUAUAAUAUUAGUUUCCUAUAAAGGUGUUGUAAAAUCUUUAUUAAAAUUAUAUUUAGGGGUGAUAGGCCUUUCAAAAACUAAGAUAUCUUGAAUCUAAUUAAAAGUAUGUAGUACAUUAAGACAGCUAUUAAGUGAUUAGGCUUUAUAGAACUAUUAACUUAUAAAAUUUUAUCUACUAUAAUUUAAUAAUUAGGUAAAUAAAUAUAUUAAUAUACAUAUAUUAUAAUUUAUAUAGAAGUAAUUAGAUAAAUUAAAAUUUAUAAAUUUUGUAAUAAUGUUAAUAUUAGUAUUAAGUUUAUAUUUAUAUGAUGAACUCGGCAAUAAUGCUUCUCAACUGUUUAUCAAAAACAUAACUAUGUGAAUAAAUACAUAGCAGUUUCUGCUCAA
rnacentral:rRNA from 1 species